rnacentral:lncRNA from 1 species
UCAAAUACCACGAGCAUGAGUCGAGGUCUUUAUUUCUCGAAAUACAAGACAGAGGAAGCACACAUCACACUGACCAUUUUAUUAGCAAGUAGCAACCAACUGUAGUAGAAGGGAGUAGAAGGGAAGACACACCACACUGACAAUUUUAGUGACGAACUAGUAGGAAAUGAAAUGAAAGCAGCUGGUAUCUGCAAUCAAGCUGACGAAGCAGCAGCUUCUCAGAGUCUAGAGAGGCCGCACGUAGACGGCAAUGGCCUCAACGAAUUCCCCACCACGUGCGAAGAAGCCCACGAUGCCACUGCCUGGCUGCACAGGGAUGGUGAAUGGAGCAUCCUUCUCCUUCCCAUCCCCCCAAGGCCCACAGGUCUUGUUAAGGUUUGUCACGAAUUUGAUGGAGGUUAUCAACUUAUUGGUACCGCCGUAGGGGUUGCCCACUGUCCCGGAUACUUCUGUGACCACCUCAGACUCGCCAAGCGGGAUCUGCGUGCACCAACACCGAGAAGGGAGAAAAUGUGGAUUAUAUUGGUCAUCACUCAUCAUAUCUAGACGUUUUCUUCGCUGCCAAUCCAUCGAGCAAUCUACUACGUCUACAAUGCACGUGGUCCACUUACCGUGUGAGGAUCUCCACCGGGACCACCCCAGCGACCAGCAGAGCGCUUCUGGCCAGUGUAGUCGAUGUAGGAGAAUGCAAUGGAGUCCACGACCCAGCCAGUGUAAAAAAAAUUGAGAAGUCUGAUCAGAUAUUGCUAAAAAUAUCAUGUAUUUUUGACCGAGGGAAGUAAUAUCAUUUUGUUUUCAGCAUUAAAUGCUUUAGUUAGUUCAUAUUAGCGGUCAGAGUCCCCUCGUGCAAAAGCCAUUGGGCAGGGGACUUUAGUCCCGAUUGGUGGCUCCAACUGAGACUAUACUUACCUUUAGUGUCGGAACCAAAUAUGGUCAGGAUUAAGGCUAAUCCGAUGCAAACCGAAUGUCCGUUCUUUGUACUAGUGAGAUCUUGUUAAGAUUUGUCACAAAUUUGAUGGAGGUAACCAGUGUCGUUGCCGACUGUCCCAGACACUUCUGUGACAAACUCAGACUCAGCGAGCUAGAUCUGCAUGCACCAGAGGGGCGGGAAGGGCGGUGGAUUGGAUAUGUAUAUAUGUCAGCAUGUCAAGCAAUGUAUUAAAAUGUCAGCAUUGUCGCAUACUUUCAUUUUGGUUUCAGAGAAUUGCAAAUGCUUUAGUUUAUAUUAGCUGUUAAGAGUCCCAUUGAUUUGGAUGUCUGUAUUUCAAAUUAAAGUGGCAUCUCUGUCGGAAUGAAGCAAAAGUAAUACAAAAAUUUAGAUGACACCUGAGGCAGCCCAUUGAUUACUCGAAUACCACGAGCAUGAGUCGAGGUCUUUAUUUAUCGAAAUUUAUGACAGAGGAAGCACACAUCACAUUGACCACUUUAUUAGCAAGUAGCAACCAACUGAAGUAGAAGGGUAGACACACCACACUGACAAUUUUAGUGACAAACUAGUAGGGAAUGAAAUGGAAGCAGAAUCUGGAACCAAGCUGCUUCUCAGAGUCUAGAGGGGGCGCACGUAAACGCCAAUGGCCUCAACGAAUUCCCCACCACGUGCAAAGAAGCCCAUGAUGCCAUUGCCUGGCUGCACGGGGAUGGUGAAUGGAGCAUCCUUCUCCUUCCCGUCCCCCCAAGGCCCAUAGGUCUUGUUAAGGUUUGUCACGAAUUUGAUGGAGGUUAUCAACUUAUUGGUACCGCUGUAGGGGUUGCCCACAGUCCCGGAUACUUCUGUGACCACCUCAGACUCGCCAAGCUUGAUCUGCGUGCACCAACACCAUACCAAGAGGGGAGAAAAUGGUGGAUUAUAUUGGUCAUCACUCAUCAUAUAUAGACGUUUUCUUCUUUACGAAUCUGUCGAGCAAUCUACUACGUCAUCUACAAUGCACGUGGUCCACUUACCGUGUGAGGAUCUCCACCGGGACCGCCCCAGCGACCAGCUGAGUGCUUCUGGGCAGUGUAGUCGAUAUAGGAGAAUGCAAUGGAGUCCACGACCCAGCCAGUGUAAACGGUGAUGCUUUCGAGAGACCUGGGUGCUUCUAUGAUGUCCAUUGUUGACCCUCCACUCCCACCGAACAGCCCAAUUUUUGUGACUGGAUACUGUGUGUAUGCAAUAUAGGUAAUAUAUAAAGUUGUAUUAUUUUCUCAGAAGCAACUAAAAUAAAGCUACCGACUUGAUGAACAACUACUUGUAUAUAUAGUAACGUAUAAUUAAUUAUUGUGUGGCUACCUCACCCUUGGUUCCUUGAGCACUGGGCAGAAGGCACGGAUCGUAAGCUCUAUGAUUUGCCCAUCGGCAGCGCUUCUGUGAUCAAGCAACCUCUUGGAGAUGACACCGGUUGCCAUAGCAAACUGACCGGUGCCCCCAACAAUAGCCCACUCCCCAGUUUCAACUACUAUCCCCAUCACUUCAAGUGUGGACCCACUGAACCUGCAGAUAUAUGUGAGUAAAGGUUACAACAGAUUAGCCAGUAGAUGGUCCCCUGUACCGGUCAUUUGAUGUAUACAACGACGUUACCUUUCAUUCACGAAGACUAGGCUGAAGGAAUUGACCCAAUUCCCGGCUUGGAUAUGAAAGCCUUGUGCACGGGCAACAAGCUCUGCGUCCGCUCCUGUCCCGUCCCACACAUUCCAGUUGUUAACUACGGUGGCACCAAUACCAAUCUUGGUGUUGUCUAUGAUCCCAGCUUGGUUGGCAUACGCAUUGCCGGGCAUGUACCUGUACAGGUACAGGCCUUGGAAGUUAAGUUCAUUGUACUCAGUGAACGCGGCAGCAGGAGUAACUUGGAGGUUGGAUGGGGUGGCCAUGGCGCGCUCUCUCGUCUAGGAGUUGUUCUGUGCUUGCACUCAACAAGACUUGGGUCGAGGAGUUCUUGUAUGUGCUGUGUGUGUGCAGAGGAUGGAGGCGAGCAACCCUCUAUUUAUAGAACACCAGGGGCCGCCUCCAUGGUCCCUCCAUGCAUGUCUUGUGAGUUCACACAUGCCCCCAUGUCUGGUGAGUUCACACAUGUGCUGGCUGCAGGUGAGGUGGCCUAAUUGAGAAGAUGAUAUAGAUAUGUCGAUGGGAGGUGAGUUAUCUAGUGCUUUGAAGAAAGCCGUGGAAACCUGGAUUAAGCAAGAUGCAGCGCUACUACCAACGGACACUGGAAUUCUUUGCAUCAAUAUCCUGCAACAAAAGGUGCGUCCACAUAAACUCAGCAAAUAUGAAAAAUGUCAUCCCUUAUUAAUUAAAAACGUAUCCACGUCAUCUCUAUUUAGUAGAUAAAAUUCAUUUUAUUCGUAGGGCUCUGAAAUUAAAGUUCACAAUCUUCCACUUGCUAACUCCUAUGAUAAUUUUUAAUUUAAUGAAAAAUAUUAUUUUUCCUAUAUUUUCAUAAGCACAAAAAUAAAAAAUUAAAUUAUUUUACAUCUAUUUCAAAGGUUGCAAAUUUGCGGGUGUUACAAUGCCGGAUGAACAAAUGACUAAAUAACCAAAAUAAACUUUGUAGAUCAUAAAAAGUUAUAUAAUUUUCUAGUUGACAAUUAUUCCAUAUGAGUUCAUCUUGUCAUGCAAAACUACGUUUGAAUUUUAAAAGUUUAAACUUUGAAUUUUUCAAAUGACCCCGGAUGGAAAAACAACCUAAAUAAAUUAAAACUGUAGAUCCCAAAAGUUAUGAAACUUUGUAGUUGACAACUUUUUCAUUUGAAAUCAUCUUGCCGUGCGAAACUACGUUUAAUUUUUUCAAAAUUGAAAGUCGAUAGAGAAACAUCGUAAAUAAAAAUUAUAGAUAUCAAAAAGUAUGAAACUUUACGGUUGACAACUUUUUAAUUUGAAUUUAUUUAGGACUAUAAAUAAUUAAUUUACACUUGGUAUGGUAUAAUAUGUGGGGAACCAAAACAAAAUAUAAACACAAGUGAUGGUGUGGUUAAACAGUUAGAGGUGAAGAUGCGCGAGAGGGUUAGUGGGUUCAAAUCCCGCCGACCACAUAGCAUGCAAACUUUACACGAAAAAUGCCGUGACUUGUGACUUCGACUCCGUUGGGCAGGCGCUUGCUGGUUGGGCCUCCCUCGAUUUUAAUUUUUUUGGAUUUAUUUUAUUUUAUUUUGCCAAGUAUCUUUUUAGCACUCAAUAAAGCUUUUGCCGAGUGUCAAAGAACUCUUUACCAUCAAAAUCUUUGGCGCGUGCUCUUUACCGAGUGUGGCACUCAAUAAAGCCUUUGCCAAAUGCAUUUGGGGCUUUACCGAGUGCCUCCAGCAGUCAGCAAAGCAAGCGAAUCCGGUUGUGAGUAUGACACUAUAAGGAAAAAAGCAACUUCUAGUAGGUCGAAUUUUUAUUUUCUAUUAAACGUAUAAAUUAUUGGAAACCAUUAAUGAUGAGGUUAUUUUUUUUCUUUUCCAAUAUUUGAUCGAUAUUUGUUCCAAAACAAGAUUUUAGUGCCACCUCAGCGUGAAAGGAUCACUUAAACUUUGCCGCAGAACCGCCAAAUAUUUUUGACUGACAAUAGUUUGGAAAUUCGCAGGGGCGUUCGUUUUUAUCAGAGUCCGCAACAAGAGCAUGGAGGAAAAUGAUCCCCUCCACUCCCCUUACUUUGUGAUUGAUGUAGAUGUGCUGCCAGUAGGAGCUCCCUUCCACGCUGCAGUAGCAAUGGAGUACCUGAUCGAACACACAACCCCUGGCCCGCAAACUGAACUACGUACUGAACUGUGAUAGAUUGCUUCACUGCUUGUAGGAAUUACGAUAGUGAAGCUCAGGUUAUACAAAUAAUUGUGGUUUCGCCUUUGCUCUAUAUUUUAUACAUCAAUUGCCUAUGGGUUCUAGUAUAAUUUUUCUGGUAAGGGAUUUUUUCCAUUGUAAACUCGACACUGGUGGUGUUCUAUGUAAACAAACAACAUGUUUUUUUAAAAAAAAAAUAUAUAAAUUUGAUUGAAAACUUAUUUGUAGUCAAAAAUUUGAGAAGUCUGAUCAGAUAUUGCUAAAAAAUAUCAUGUAUUUGUGACGAAGGAAAGUAAUCUCAUUUUGUUUUCAGCAUUAAAUGCUUUAGUUAGUUCAUAUUAAGUCCGUUCUUUGUACUAAUGAGAUCUUGUUAAGAUUUGUCACGAAUUUGAUGGUGGUUAUCA